rnacentral:rRNA from 1 species
CGGCGAGUGAAGCGGCAACAGCUCAAAUUUGAAAUCUGGCGUCUUCGGCGUCCGAGUUGUAAUUUGCAGAGGGCGCUUUGGCAUUGGCAGCGGUCCAAGUUCCUUGGAACAGGACGUCACAGAGGGUGAGAAUCCCGUACGUGGUCGCUAGCCUUUACCGUGUAAAGCCCCUUCGACGAGUCGAGUUGUUUGGGAAUGCAGCUCUAAAUGGGAGGUAAAUUUCUUCUAAAGCUAAAUACUGGCCAGAGACCGAUAGCGCACAAGUAGAGUGAUCGAAAGAUGAAAAGCACUUUGGAAAGAGAGUUAAAAAGCACGUGAAAUUGUUGAAAGGGAAGCGCUUGCAGCCAGACUUGCCUGUAGUUGCUCAUCCGGGUUUCUACCCGGUGCACUCUUCUACGGGCAGGCCAGCAUCAGUUUGGGCGGUUGGAUAAAGGUCUCUGUCAUGUACCUCCUUUCGGGGAGAACUUAUAGGGGAGACGACAUGCAACCAGCCCGGACUGAGGUCCGCGCAUCUGCUAGGAUGCUGGCGUAAUGGCUGUAAGCGGCCCGUCUUGAAACACGGACCAAGGAGUCUAACAUCUAUG